rnacentral:misc_RNA from 1 species
GCUUGCUACACCUGGGCUGAAGUCUAUUUUCAGCUUUGUUGUUCCAGAUCAGAGAUCGGGGAAGGUUGAACUGCAGUAUCUACAUGAUUAUGCUGGUGUUACUGCAAGUAUUGGGUUGACUGCAAACCCUAUUGUCAACUUUGCUGGUGUACUAGGAUCUAAAAUCUUCUCUAUUGGUGCUGAUGUGGCAUUUGACACUGCUACUGGGAAUUUCACCAAAUACAAUACUGGAUUGAAUGUCAUUAAUGCUGAUCUAAUAGCAUCUUUGACACUGAACAACAAGGGUGAUAACCUGACUGCAUCUUACUACCACCUAGUCAGCCCGUUGUCCAGCACAGCUGUAGGUGCAGAGCUUACCCACAGUUUCUCCAGUAAUGAGAACACCCUCACCUUUGGGACACAGCACGCUUUGGACCCCUUGACGUCAGUUAAGGCACGCUUCAAUAACUUU